AACGAACGCUGGCGGAGUGCUUAAGACAUGCAAGUCGUACGAGAAAGCCGACUUCGGUUGGUGAGUAAAGUGGCGCACGGGUGAGUAACGCGUGGGUAAUCUGCCUUCGAGUCUGGGACAACUCCGGGAAACUGGAGCUAAUACCGGAUGAGACCACAGGGUCCUUGGGCCCAGUGGGAAAAGAUGGCCUCUUCUUGAAAGCUAUCGCUCGGAGAUGAGCCCGCGUCGCAUUAGUUUGUUGGUGGGGUAACGGCUCACCAAGACUACGAUGCGUAGCUGGUCUGAGAGGAUGAUCAGCCACACUGGAACUGAGACACGGUCCAGACUCCUACGGGAGGCAGCAGUCGGGAAUAUUGGUCAAUGGGCGCAAGCCUGAACCAGCAACUCCGCGUGAGGGAUGAAGGCCCUCGGGUCGUAAACCUCUGUCAGAAGGGAAGAACCCCUCCGAUUCGAAUAGGGUCGGAGGCUGACGGUACCUACAAAGGAAGCACCGGCUAACUCCGUG
rnacentral:rRNA from 1 species